CCUACGGGAGGCAGCAGUGGGGAAUAUUGCACAAUGGGCGAAAGCCUGAUGCAGCAACGCCGCGUGAGUGAUGAAGGCCUUCGGGUUGUAAAGCUCUGUCUUUGGGGACGAUAAUGACGGUACCCAAGGAGGAAGCCACGGCUAACUACGUGCCAGCAGCCGCGGUAAUACGUAGGUGGCGAGCGUUGUCCGGAUUUACUGGGCG
rnacentral:rRNA from 1 species